rnacentral:rRNA from 1 species
GACGAACGCUGGCGGCGUGCUUAACACAUGCAAGUCGAGCGGUGCGGCGAACGGGUGAGCAACGCGUGAGUAACUGCCCCCCUCCCUGGGAUAACAGUUGGAAACGGGUGCCAAUACCGGCUAGUGGUGGAUGACUCGCGUCCUAUCAGCUUGUUGGGGGGGUAGUGGCCUACCAAGGCGACGACGGGUACCCGACCUGGGAGGGGGCCCGGCCACAUUGGGCUGAGAGACGGCGCAGAGUCCAACAGGGGGCAAGAGUGGGAAAUAUUACACAGUGGGGGAGACCCUGAUGCAGCGACGUCGGGUGCGGGAUGCCGGCCUACUGGUUGGAAACCGCUUUCAGCUAUGACGCGGUAGUGGCAGAAGAAGCACCGGCUAACUCCGUGCCAGCAGCCGCGGUAAUAC